AGGGUCCGGGCCACCCUAGUCCGCAGUGAGCAAGGGACCCACAGGCUGUGGCUUGGGGCUGUUUAACAUUUCCACAGACCGCGACUGUCUUCCCCAAACUGUCCACCACGACAGAUGUUUGCACUUGUCUGCAAUAUGGGAACCCUCACCAAUUUGUGUUUGGAGGCGCUGAGUCUUGGAUGCGGAGUUUUGAGAGCCUUCGGAGCCCCCAUGCUGGCUGCUUUGUGCUACGUGUCCCUGGAAAUCAUCUCACACCUGGGUUCAUAAAGCAGGAACGCUGCAGGUGGGAAAUGCAUUCCUCAUCAAGCACUGAAAAUCAGACACGUUCCAGACGCAUUCCGGUGUUGCCAACAGCGUCACAGAGGCAGAUACAGCGGGCCAUUAUGCAGAAUUCCAUGCGGGAGAGCUUCCCAAGAACCCACUCCAGCAGAACCCACUCCAGCCUCCUAAAGGAAAGAUCUCUCUCCUGAAGCCCCAUGGACCUUUAGAGAAUCCUGCUCAAGGGGAGGACUUACUGAGACAGGAAGAAAGUGAACUUUUACAUUAUUUUUUCAGAAGAACACACUGCAGGCAUCAGCCACGCUUGAACCCUCGGAGGACGUGUGUUUUUCCUCCGGGGAAAGCCUGUGAGAGAUGGAACAGCCCCUGCAGUGACUUCUCAAGCUGCUUCUGCUAGGAAAAAAAGCUCCUGCCUCCUUAUUGAAUCUAAGAUAACAAACUCGGUGACUUUGAAAGCCUGCUUCCGGAGUCUAUCGAUGAAAACAAUUAACCAACUGCAGAACUAGUGGUUUAAAUUUAAGGCCACUUUUAUUAUUUUAGAAAAUGCUUUUUCCAAUUACAAUGUAAUCCAGGGAAGACACUGUUAUGGCACAAAAAUUGUUUUAGUAAGAGUCUUGUAAAUAUAUGAGCUAAAUGAACAUUUACACACCAAACAGCUUUAAAUAUAGCACUUUCUGGAAACAGUUUGCUGCUUUGAGUGUUAUUCAAAUCCCUAACAUGUUCGCCUUGUUAUGAUGUUCUGUAAUGUGCAGGGGAAAAAAUCUUUUGGGUAGUCAGAAACCUUAGCGUGAUCAACCCAAGAUUUGCACCAUAAUAUAAAAUUAGGAAGAAAAGUGCCUUCCCUGACCUUAAAUGUACCAUGUCCACAUGUUGUACUAAAGGUUAUUUAGGAUAGCCUCAACUUGUGGGGGCGGUGGGUGGUGAAGGUGGCAGGACUCUAUUCAUCUUUAGAAAAUACAUUUACUCUCUUAAAUCAUGCAAUACUCUAAGUAUUAUUUUGGUGGAGAUUCAUGAAUUGGUGUCACAAAUAUCGGAAGUUCAAAAAAUUCAGAAAAAAGGGCUUUAUUCAUUAAUACAAAAUAAUUAAAGAAAGUAUUAAUAAUACAUUUUAAAAACCCUAAAGCGAAAGGAGACCUAAACCCUAUUGGGGUUAAUUUUUUAUAAAGUGAAUGUUUAUAUUCAUAGUUAUUAUUCUAGGUAUUCUUGUGUAGGAAUUCUAUGUUAUAUCAACUUACUUGUCCAGAUCAAAGAAAUCCAGGAUAAAUGAGAGAUAUGCUGGCCCUCCUAUUUUUCUUUUGUAAAUUUAAGGAUUUCUUGGUGUAAAUUUUAUUAAAAAAUACAAGAAUAACUCAGUAAAACAAAGUUUAAAAAGGAGAAAUGAGUCAUUAUAAGAAAUGGUUUUAGAAUUUUAAAAAAUGAAUUUUGGUAUUGUAUAGUGAUGUUCAAUAUUUUAUAAAAACAAGGAUAUAAGAAGUCAUUGUAUACAGCAGCUUAAAAACCAUGUAUGUAAAUGUAAUAGAUAUAGCAUUUGAGUUUUAAAAUAGGCUUAGAGAUUUUUUAAAUUUUUCUAUUAAAUCCAGAGUAAAAUAGUUUCAGUGAAAUUUCCAGGGUAGAAAAAAAAAAAGGUCUGGAAUCUUGCCCACAGAGAGAGGCAAUUUCUAUUUUUAUUGCACGUUUCAAUGUCUUAAAGGACUAGUGAAGUAGAGAACAAUUCCACACUGUCUGAGAGAGAAGGCCCCAGCCUUUAGAAUCAUGGAUACCUCAGAGAGUAGCAGGAUGCAAGACAUGCUUUCAUUGCUUACAUGAGCUGAAAUCAGCAUGCUAACCUGA